UACGAAGGGGGCUAGCGUUGCUCGGAAUUACUGGGCGUAAAGCGUGCGCAGGCGGUUUUGUAAGCCAGAUGUGAAAUCCCCGGGCUUAACCUGGGAAUGGCAUUUGGGACUGCAAGGCUUGAGUGCGGCAGAGGAGACUGGAAUUCCUGGUGUAGCAGUGAAAUGCGUAGAUAUCAGGAGGAACACCUGUGGUGUAGACAGCUUACUGGACCACUUCUGACGCUGAGACACGAAAGCGUGGGUAGCAAACAGG
rnacentral:rRNA from 1 species